GGCAGGCCGAGGGCGGGGCCUAUGCUGAGAGCGCGCUGAGACCUGCCGCGGGGCGGGUCCCUGCCACCUGCAGGCGGAGCAGCUGAUGGAAGAGUGGAACGAAGACCUAGACGGCAUGGAGGGUUUCGUGCUGGAGGGCAAGAAGUUUGCGCGGCUGCCAGAAGAGGAGUUUGGCCACUUCUACACGCAAGACUGCUACGUCUUCCUCUGCAGGUACUGGGUGCCCGUGGAGUACGAGGAGGAGGAAAAGAAGGAAGACAAGGAGGAGGAGAAGGCUGAGGGCAAAGAAGGCGAGGAGGCAACAGCUGAGGCAGAGGAGAAGCAGCCAGAGGAGGACUUCCAGUGCAUCGUGUACUUCUGGCAAGGCCGUGAAGCCUCCAACAUGGGCUGGCUCACCUUCACCUUCAGCCUGCAAAAGAAGUUCGAGAGCCUCUUCCCUGGGAAGCUGGAGGUGGUACGCAUGACGCAGCAGCAGGAGAACCCCAAGUUCCUGUCCCAUUUCAAGAGGAAGUUCAUCAUCCACCGGGGCAAGAGGAAGGCGGUCCAAGGCGCCCAACAGCCCAGCCUCUACCAGAUCCGCACCAACGGCAGCGCCCUCUGCACCCGGUGCAUCCAGAUCAACACCGACUCCAGCCUCCUCAACUCCGAGUUCUGCUUCAUCCUCAAGGUGGGGUUG
rnacentral:sRNA from 1 species